GGCUUGAAUAAUUGAAAGAGAGAGGUUUAUUAUUAUUCUUGUGAUAUAAGCUAUUCGGUAGACUCACCAUCACAAGAACCAAUAGAAAAGAAUGGGCUUAAACUUUGAACCCCCUUUCUGGAAUGUGAAAUCGUGGGCUAUUGGGGACAUUUGAUCCCUUUUGUCAAGAAAAUUUUUUGAAAGAUAAUUGCUUGUCUUUGAGGUGUCAUGAGAUUACAGGAGAGCUUAAAGGUUAUAAUUAGAAUAUUCCUAUAGAAAAAAAAGAAAAA
rnacentral:lncRNA from 1 species